rnacentral:rRNA from 1 species
CACGGAGGGUGCAAGCGUUGUUCGGAAUUACUAGGCGUAAAGAGCGUGUAGGUGGUUAGCUAAGUCGGAUGUGAAAAUUCCGAGCUCAACUCGGAACCUGCAUUCGAAACUGGUUAACUUGAGUGUGGGAGAGGAGAGUGGAAUUCCUAGUGUAGCGGUGAAAUGCGUAGAUAUUAGGAAGAACACCGGUGGCGAAGGCGACUCUCUGGCCUAAAACUGACACUGAGACGCGAAAGCGUGGGGAGCAAACAGG